rnacentral:rRNA from 1 species
UGGGGAAUAUUGGGCAAUGGGGGCAACCCUGACCCAGCGACGCCGCGUGGGGGAAGACGGCCUUCGGGUUGUAAACCUCUUUUGUACGGGAAGAAGGAAGUGACGGUACUGUACGAAUAAGUCCCGGCUAACUACGUGCCAGCAGCCGCGGUAAUACGUAGGGGACGAGCGUUGUCCGGAAUUACUGGGCGUAAAGGGCGCGCAGGCUGUGCUGCAAGUCAGCUGUUAAAUGUCUGGGCUUAACCCGGGCAUGCGAUUGAGACUGCAGUGCUGGAGUGCUGUAGAGGCAAGUGGAAUUCCCAGUGUAGCGGUGAAAUGCGUAGAUAUUGGGAAGAACACCGGUGGCGAAGGCGACUUGCUGGGCAGCAACUGACGCUGAGGCGCGAAAGCCAGGGGAGCAAACGGG